GACGAACGCUGGCGGCGUGCUUAACACAUGCAAGUUGAACGGAAAGGCCCUGCUUUUGUGGGGUGCUCGAGUGGCGAACGGGUGAGUAACACGUGAGUAACCUGCCCUUGACUUUGGGAUAACUUCAGGAGACUGGGGCUAAUACCGGAUAGGAGCUCCUGCUGCAUGGUGGGGGUUGGAAAGUUUCGGCGGUUGGGGAUGGACUCGCGGCUUAUCAGCUUGUUGGUGGGGUAGUGGCUUACCAAGGCUUUGACGGGUAGCCGGCCUGAGAGGGUGACCGGCCACAUUGGGACUGAGAUACGGCCCAGACUCCUACGGGAGGCAGCAGUGGGGAAUAUUGCACAAUGGGCGGAAGCCUGAUGCAGCAACGCCGCGUGCGGGAUGACGGCCUUCGGGUUGUAAACCGCUUUCGCCUGUGACGAAGCGUGAGUGACGGUAAUGGGUAAAGAAGCACCGGCUAACUACGUG
rnacentral:rRNA from 1 species